CGCGCUACACUGACAGAGCCAGCGAGUUUUUUUCCUUGGCCGGAAGGUCUGGGUAAUCUUGUGAAACUCUGUCGUGCUGGGGAUAGAGCAUUGCAAUUAUUGCUCUUCAACGAGGAAUUCCUAGUAAGCGUGAGUCAUCAGCUCGCGUUGAUUACGUCCCUGCCCUUUGUACACACCGCCCGUCGUUACUACCGAUUGAAUGGCUUAGUGAGGUCUUGGGAUCGGCUUCGGGGAGUCGGCAACGACACCCUGUCGCUGAAAACUUGAUCAAACUUGGUCAUUUAGAGGAAGUACAAGUCGUAACAAGGUUUCCGUAGGUGAACCUGCGGAAGGAUCAUUA
rnacentral:rRNA from 2 species